rnacentral:rRNA from 1 species
UACGUAGGGUGCGAGCGUUGUCCGGAAUUAUUGGGCGUAAAAGAGCUCGUAGGCGGCUUGUCACGUCGGGUGUGAAAGCCCGGGGCUUAACCCCCGGGUCUGCAUUCGAUACGGGCUAGCUAGAGUGUGGUAGGGGGAGAUCGAAUUCCUGGUGUAGCGGUGAAAAUGCGCAGAUAUCAGGAGGAACACCGGUGGCGAAGGCGGAUCUCUGGGCCAUUACUGACGCUGAGGAGCGAAAGCGUGGGGAGCGAACAGG